rnacentral:rRNA from 1 species
UACGCAGGGUGCAAGCGUUAUUCGGAAUCACUGGGCGUAAAGCGUUCGUAGGCUGUUAAUUUAGUCGGAUGUGAAAUCCCCAGACUCAAUCUGGGACGUGCAUCUGAUACUGAUUGACUAGAGUGCAGGAGAGGAAAGCGGAAUUCCAGGUGUAGAGGUGAAAUUCGUAGAUAUCUGGAGGAACAACAGAGGCGAAGGCGGCUUUCUGGACUGUCACUGACGCUGAGGGACGAAAGCGUGGGGAGCAAACAGG